UGCAAGUCGAACGGUAACAGGAAGCAGCUUGCUGCUUUGCUGACGAGUGGCGGACGGGUGAGUAAUGUCUGGGAAACUGCCUGAUGGAGGGGGAUAACUACUGGAAACGGUAGAGUAAUACCGCAUAACGUCGCAAGACCAAAGAGGGGGACCUUCGGGCCUCUUGCCAUCGGAUGUGCCCAGAUGGGAUUAGCUAGUAGGUGGGGUAACGGCUCACCUAGGCGACGAUCCCUAGCUGGUCUGAGAGGAUGACCAGCCACACUGGAACUGAGACACGGUCCAGACUCCUACGGGAGGCAGCAGUGGGGAAUAUUGCACAAUGGGCGCAAGCCUGAUGCAGCCAUGCCGCGUGUAUGAAGAAGGCCUUCGGGUUGUAAAGUACUUUCAGCGGGGAGGAAGGCGAUAAGGUUAAUAACCUUGUCGAUUGACGUUACCCGCAGAAGAAGCACCGGCUAACUCCGUGCCAGCAGCCGCGGUAAUACGGAGGGUGCAAGCGUUAAUCGGAAUUACUGGGCGUAAAGCGCACGCAGGCGGUCUGUCAAGUCGGAUGUGAAAUCCCCGGGC
rnacentral:rRNA from 1 species